rnacentral:tRNA from 1 species
GUAGCUCAGCGGUAGAGCGGGUGGCUGUUAACCACUAGGUCGUAGGUUCGAAUCCUACC